UACGGAGGAUCCGAGCGUUAUCCGGAUUUAUUGGGUUUAAAGGGUGCGCAGGCGGGAGAUUAAGUCGGCGGUGAAAUUUUGCAGCUCAACUGUAAAAGUGCCUUCGAUACUGGUUUCCUUGAGUGUGGAUGAAGUAGGCGGAAUUUGUGGUGUAGCGGUGAAAUGCUUAGAUAUCACACAGAACACCGAUUGCGAAGGCAGCACACUAAGUCAUUAUUGACGCUGAGGCACGAAAGUGUGGGGAUCAAACAGGAUUAGAUA
rnacentral:rRNA from 1 species